rnacentral:lncRNA from 1 species
GUAUUUCUGAACUUGGGCAUAUUCUCCGCAAUAGCAUGAAGAGGUAACUUAGAGGUUGCAGAGAUAGCAAGUGCCUCUGGUACCUUUGUGAUUCUUCCUAAUGUGAGACCCUUACUAUUGCUUUAAGGCAAGACUCUGAAGCACAGAUUCCAGUAAAUACUCUACUUUUUGCUCCUCUCUGCAAGUCAGUUCUCUCUAAAGAGUCUGUAUCCUCUAUGUCAUCCCAGAAAUAAUUUUCCAAUUGGCAGGCAGAUUUUGGCUUGCAACAAGAUUCACAGAGCAUGAGGACCUAUAAUGGAAAUGGACCGCUUCUUAGGAGUCUGCUAUUUCAGG